rnacentral:rRNA from 1 species
GACGAACGCUGGCGGCGUGCUUAACACAUGCAAGUCGAACGGAAAGGCCCUGCUUUUGUGGGGUGCUCGUGUGGCGAACGGGUGAGUAACACGUGUGUAACCUGCCCUUGACUUUGGGAUAACUUCAGGAAACUGGGGCUAAUACCGGAUAGGAGCUCCUGCUGCAUGGUGGGGGUUGGAAAGUUUCGGCGGUUGGGGAUGGACUCGCGGCUUAUCAGCUUGUUGGUGGGGUAGUGGCUUACCAAGGCUUUGACGGGUAGCCGGCCUGAGAGGGUGACCGGCCACAUUGGGACUGAGAUACGGCCCAGACUCCUACGGGAGGCAGCAGUGGGGAAUAUUGCACAAUGGGCGGAAGCCUGAUGCAGCAACGCCGCGUGCGGGAUGACGGCCUUCGGGUUGUAAACCGCUUUCGCCUGUGACGAAGCGUGAGUGACGGUAAUGGGUAAAGAAGCACCGGCUAACUACGUG